rnacentral:rRNA from 1 species
UGAGGAAUCUUGGGCAAUGGGGGAAACCCUGACCCAGCCACGCCGCGUGGAGGAAGACACCCCUAUGGGGCGUAAACUCCUUUUAUGUGAGAAGAAGGUCCCGUUCGUCGGGAUUUGACGGUAUCACACGACUAAGCCCCGGCUAACUCCGUGCCAGCAGCCGCCGUAAUGCGGAGGGUGCAAGCGUUGUCCGGAAUUAUUGGGUGUAAAGGGUGUGUAGGCGGACUUGUAAGUCAGAGGUGAAAGCCCACGGCUCAACCGUGGAAUUGCCUUUGAUACUGCAGGUCUUGAGUCCUGGAUAGGUCGCUGGAAUUCGUGGUGUAGCGGUGAAAUGCGUAGAUAUCACGAGGAACACCAGAGGUGUAGACGGGUAACUGGACAGGAACUGACGCUGAGGCACGAAAGCGUGGGGAGCAAACAGGAUUAGAUACCCGCGUAGUCC